GCAACUCGCCUACAUGAAGUCGGAAUUGCUAGUAAUCGCGGAUCAGCAUGCCGCGGUGAAUACGUUCCCGGGCCUUGUACACACCGCCCGUCACACCAUGGGAGUCGGUAACACCCGAAGCCUGUAGUCUAACCGCAAGGAGGACGCCGCCGAAGGUGGGGUUGAUGAUUAGGGUUAAGUCGUAACAAGGUAUC
rnacentral:rRNA from 1 species